AGGAAGGGCGCUCGGGGCGGCGGUAGCGGUGGUGGGGUUCUGGGGCGGCGCUCGGCUCUGCCGCGUUCGCUCCAGCUGCGGCGUUCCGGGCCCACUUUCGCUUCUCCUGGGUAGCGCAGAGCUCGUCGGUCUGUGGCUGUUGCGGUUGUGUCUCGCGGGGCAGCCUCAGGAUGAAACGGCGGCGGGUGGGCGCGGCUCGGCUCCGUGCUGUCCCUUCUCGGGCGGCGGGCCGUGGGAGGGAGCGGCGGUUUUGUUUUCGGCUUCCACCAAGCCUAAGUUUUACGCGUGUGCUGCCCCACAUCUUCUCGGAAAGCUCUUGACUUGUGUGUGUGCUUCAGAAGGAUUCAGGUGAUUUUUUUUUUCCCCACUUGUUAGUCUGGGCUGACUUUGAAAAAGCUCCAGCGUGGGUUCUGGUUCUCUGAGCAGUGAGAACUCACGGCUUGAUGCUGCUGAGGCUUUAAAGGCAGCCGAUGCCUCCCUUUUCCUGGGGGCUGUGGUUGUUUGUGCUUGGUGGUCGCUUUGUUGUUGUUGUGUCCGUUUGGUUUUGUUCCCCCGGUGAACUUAAUUCCUGAUAAAUUAACUUCUACCUCGGGUGUUUUGAAUGUGCUGUGAGGUGCCACAGAGUUAUUUCCCGGUGUUCAUUUCUGUUCCUCCCAGACAUCCAAGUCAAAUCAAGGCAAGCUCGGGCCGAGGAAAGCAUCCAGAGCUGAGUUGUUGUGUAUAAUGAGGGAAUUUCCCACGUGUGUGGGGAAGAGUUUGUGUGUUGGCAGAGAAAAGAAAUGGAGGCUUUCAAUUCACAAUGCAGUAGAACUUUUUUUUGUUCAGCCUGAACAAAGCAGCACUGAAGUAAUAGUUACUGUGUGAUGCAAACUCGAGUCACCAGGAACUGGUUUGGAUGUUCCAGAUGUGGACUGGUCAUGACUGGGAUCUAGUCGGACUUGCUGUUAUUCAAAUAUUGUUUCCAUGUUGUGUCAGUCUGUCUAAAUUUGGUUUAGUUUUAAUCAACUGACAAUGUACAAUGGGCACGUGGCUUAUUUCUGGUUUUAUUCAUUUCCAUCUUCACCUUCUUAAACUGGCUCUAGUUAACAUGGGAAGAGUAGAAGUUUCAAAUACAGUUUAGAGUGCUGCUUAGGGUCUGAUAUGCGUUGCGACUUCAAAAGAGUGAAUGGAAUAAUUAUCUGGAAAUUAACUCUGAACUUUGGGGAAAUAAUGCUCUGUGUGUAUAGAUAGCAGACUGUAUGCAGGCUGAGAACAUGUGCUGUUCAUGUGUGUCUUCUAAAAAUAUUUUCACAUGCAAAUCACAUAUCCGUUGGCUGCGUGCUUCUAACCAGAUUGUCACUGCAAGGCCAAUGGUUCCUGAGAAACUGAAUGCAGAGUGGGAGGUACCAACUGGAAAGUUCUGCUUGAAAGGUUUUGUUGUUCAGGGUUUGCUUGUACUGUUCUUUUCUUUUACCAAAAACAUAUGAAAUUAAAAUUUAAACACAUGAAAUGCCUUGUUGAGAAUGCAAGAUGGAUACAGUAACUAAUUGGCUAUAUGUAUACCUCUUUUUUCCCUGUUUAGUGCUUAAAUACAUGAUUAAUAUUGUUAUAUACGUAUAGGAUGAGUUUACGGUCCUGACGAUUGCAAUUUUGAUUUUGAAAAGUGGAUUUUGAGUUGUUGUGUAUAAAAAGUCAAGAUUACUGCAGUUGUAAACCUUCUUGCAUUUCAUGACUAACUUCAAGUCCACAAGUUAGAUUCUUGCAUUGCUGCCAGCAUUACUGAUGUUGAUAUGUACACACGGCAUGCCCUGGCUGUUGCAUUCUGGUGUUGUAACCGGAGAAAGGGAGAUCUUUGUUAUGAAGUCAGUAGCCAAAACAUGAGGCUGGGUUCAUCUGGUCACCUGCUGACCUGCUUAAAUCCUUUUCUCUGCAGUGGAAACCUCUUGUAAGAUAUUCUUAGGGCUCUUUUUUCCCUCUGACCUUUUGAAAAUAAAUUCUAUGUUGUUUCCCUACUACAGCGUGUAACCUGUGUAACCUUGACAAAGAGGAGAAAUUUAUUUGCUGCUCACAGUUAAAAGUGUUUUGGUUUUGUUUUUUUGAUUAAUUUUUCCCCACCCCAGCUCUUACUUUGUCAUCCUUAACAGGAGCAUCUUUGCACUGUAGCGGAGAGAGAAACUAUCUUGAAUCAAACACCUUAAGCACAUUUUCUUAGUUUUCACUGUGCUCUUUGAAUUACUUUAUCUCCCUGUCCUAUGGCUUGUAUGGACCAAUAAUCAAAACUUGGUAGCUUUGGGAUUGCUUUCAGGAGUAUAUCCCUGAUGCAAUGUGGCUUCAAUAUCAUGAAACCAGUGAUGUUUUCCAGUUGUGAUUGCUGUCCAUAGGAUGCUCCCCCUAGUUUGGCUAUAUACCAGCAUCACAGAAUUACAAAAUCACCAAGAUUGGAAAAGACCUACAAGAUCAUCCAGUCCAACCAUCCACACAUCACCAAUAGUUCUCACUAAACCAUGUCCCUGAACAAAUGUCUGAACAUUUCCUGAAUACCUCCAGGGUCGGUGACUCUACCACUUCCCUGAGCAGCCCAUUCCAGUGCCUGACCACUCUUUCAGAGAAACAGCAUUUCCUAACAUCCAGCCUAAAUCUUUCUUGGUGCUCUUGAGGCUGUUCCAUCUUGUAUGUGAGAGAAGAGACCAAAUCAGGAAGUUUCAGAGAGCAGUAAGGUUUCCCUUGAGCAUCCUCUUCUCCAUACUGAACAAUCCCAGUUCCCCCAGCUUCUUCCCAUCAGACAUGUGCUCUGGUUCCCUCACAGCUCCACUGCCCUUCUCUGGACACACUCCAGGGCCUCAGUGCCUUUCUUGCAGCCAAGGGCCCAAAUUGAAUGCAGUACACAAUGGGGUUGUAUUGCUACUCUUAGUGCAGGUCAGCAUUAUGUAGAACGAAUAUUUUAACGCUGAUGUAAGGAAUUGACUUGAACCCAGUGUGAGGUAAUAUAACAGCAGUCCAAAUGAAGUUGUGUUUUGGUAAACACAAAGAUCUUGGUUAACUUGUUUAUAACAGUGAAGACUUCAAAAAUGGUGUGGAAGUUCGGGGUUGUAUUGGUUAAAUUAUGUUCAAAAUAAUAAUUAAAAAAAAUAUAUAUAUUUAACGUCCAAACAAGAUGUGUUGGUUUCUAGUCUCAUACUGUUGUUUCUCUGUGUGAGAAACUGAUGUUUCUCCUAAAGGCAGGUUUUAUUUGGGUCUCCCUUUUUUUAUUUGGGUCUCCCUUUCCCCUGAGUUCAGGUUUUGUACUGGUUUUUCUGUUCUUCUGCGUGACAGUCUGAGAUUUCUGAGGUGUAGUUUCUUUUCUCUUAGUUGUGAUUGUAUUUCUAAAUGAUUGACUUGUGGCAGAGUUCCAAGAUAUUGUAUCAGGAAGGUGAUUCAUGAGUUUUGAAAGCGGUGCUUUUCAGCAAUAAGUCUGAAGGCAGUGUUUUACUGAAGGCAAAUGGGGAUGAUGCUGGUUUCUAUUGCUUCUCUUUUCUCUGUAUGGGUAAAAGGGAAAUCAACUCCAAACCAUACCUGUGCAAGCACACAGGGUUGCAUGUGACAUACCACUCUCUUAAUAAGUACCCAGUUCUUUCAUUCUGUUUUCAAAGUUACAUUGGGAGUUACUUUGGGAGUCUCGUGUUUUAAUUUCUUGAAAAUAUGCAAUAAUCAAAUGUAUUGAAAAGUCAGGCUGUUGUGACUCUUGGAAAGUUUCUGAAUAUCUUGCCAGCUGAACUUGGUUCAGGUGGUGGCAGUAUGAUGAAUAUUACUUGGCCAUUCAAGACUUUUCCCAGGAGUGCUUUUAGCCACUUAUGCUAAAAUUUGGGUAGAUUUUGGCAACCAUUAUCUUGUGGUCUUCUUAUUUAAACUUCAAUUAUUUUUUUUCUCUCUACAAAUUAUUUCAAAUAUCAUCCCGUGUAAAGAUGCCGUAGUGUUACAGCUACUGACAUUAUGCAUGAGCAGAGGAUCAACGUUCCAGCAAGUGCUUUACAGAUGUACAGCAAGCUUAUUCUCAAGAAAUUAAAAAUAGUUUUCCCAUCUAAUCUUCCUUGAAUUGCCAACAACUGUAUGCUUUCCCAAUUUCUCACAGAAUUGCACUAGUCUUGGAAGUUGUAUUUUAAACUUGCUGGGGCUGAUUGUAUGUGAGCUCACAUCUGGCUGUAAGCAAAACCUUUCCUGAGCUUGAAUUGUCCCCUUGUUUUUGGAUUGUAGGUUUUCCUGGGGUUUAAGCUUAAAAAUCAAGCAUUAGGCUUAGUGUUAAUGCAUAUUUAGAAGCAGUUGAUGAAUCUGAAUUCCUUUAGGUGAGGUUAAUCAAACUGAAUACCUAUGAAGUGCUGGAGAGAGUACUUAUGUAUCUGUUUUAUUUUCUGGUGGUGCUUAAAGGCUGCAUCGCAAUUGAAUUUUGUUGUAGUUUUUGCUGUAAUACAUGUGGUUGGUACUUCACCCUCAAAACCUGAAGGCCAUCAUCCUUCUCAAAUAAAUAGAUAAAUUCCCAAACUGGUUGUGGAGUGGUUUUGUUGUUUUUUUUUUUGUAGCUCUUGGCUCCUUUGCUGCUUGUAUGUGGGACAGAGAUGAGGGAGAAAGAAGGGGGAAAAAAAAAAAAAAAAAAAAAAAAUCUGUUACUUUCAAUACUUUUUUCUCCCUUGGUGCCUGAAACAUCACUAGUUCAACUUCUAGCUGUAACCAGAUUUUACUACUACUUUUUUGCUGGUGUGUAUUUAUCACCCCUUUCGUUGUCAUGCAUUGCAACUUGCUGGCCUAAUUGGUUCUAAUUACAUGUCACAGAAUCAUUAGUGCUGGAAAGGACCCUUAAAGGUCAUCUAGUCCAACUCCCCUGCAGCGAACAGGGACACCGCAGUUAGAUCAGGUUGCCCUGGACCUGGUCCAGCCUGGCCUUAAAAGUCUCCAGGGAUGGGGCAUCCACCACAGUUGUUCCAGUUGUACCAGUGCCUCAGUACUCUCACUCUAAAAGAAUAUUUCUUUGUAUCUAACCUAAAUGUAUCUUUUUUUAAGCUUGAAACCAUUUCCCUUUCUCUUAUCACAGUAGACCCUGCUAAAGAGUCUGUCCCCUUCUUUCUUACAGCCCCCCUUUACUGAAAGGCCACUCUCAGUUCUCCCCACAGCCUUCUCUUCUCCAGGCUGAACAGCCCCAUCUCUCUCAGCCUGUCCUCAUAGGUGAGCUGUUCCAUCCCUUGGCUCAGUCUUGUAGCCCUCCUCUGGAUGCACUUCAACAGCUCCAUGUCUCUCCUGUACUGAGGACUCCACAUCUGCAUGCAGUACUCCAGGUGAGGCCUCACAGCACAGAGCAGAGGGGCAGGAUCACUCCCUCACCCUUCUGGCCACGCUGCUUUGGAUGCAGCCCAGGAUAAGGUUGGCUUUCUAUGUGAGGGAACAUUGCUGUCUAUGUCCAGCUUCCCAUCCACCAGUUCCCCCAGAUCCUUUUUGGCAGGUUUUUUUGGAUCUUUUUUUGGUUUUGCUCUGUUCUUCCAUCCCCCAGCCUGUACUGAUAGCAGGGUUUGCCAGGACCCAGAUGCAAGACCUCGCACUUGGCUUUGUUGAACCAUGUGAGGAUCACGUGGGCCCACUGCUCAACCUGUCUAGGUCUCUCUGGAUGGCAUCCUGUCCCUUGAGUGUGUUGACCCAUCCCCACAGCUUAGUGUCGUCCACAAGCUUUCUGAGGGUGUGCUUGAUCCCAUUGUCAAUGUCUAUGAAGAUACUAAAGAAUACCAGUCCCAGCAGUGAUCCCUGGGGAGCACCUCUUAUUGCUGAUCUCCAUCCAGGCACUGAGCUGUUGACCACAAUUCUCUCAACUUGAUCCUCUUCCUUCUAAAUCUUUCAACUUUUCUUUACACUUGAAAAUUACGCAUGAUACGUUCCAAAGCUUUGAUAAUGUUCAGUAACUGGUAUACGUAAAGCAUAAUUUCUACCUUUGCCUUUAGAAUAGAAGGAGGUAGCUAUAAUUUUCCUUUUCAGCCUGACAGUGCUUCUUCCUGUUAGCAAAAAUGGUACUAACCAGACAAACUGCUGAAUUUCAUAUAACCCAUGGUGUGCUAAUGAGGAGGUUCUUGAGGUGUGCUGAUGUCAUGUCAUCUUUAUACUGGUGUUGUCCUCUGUGUGAAAUACGGCAUAACCAACUUUCAAAUCUAUUAUUUUGUUUUCUAGUCAUUGUUGUUGAGAAAGUAGUUUUGCACUUUGGCCAUUUCCUAAUGUGCUUUUUAUGUGGCAGCAGCAUCUAACGAUCUUUGCACAGAUCUUUGCACAGAUGGGUCUUCAUGUGAUAUCACAAAAGCAUCUCCUCCUCAUUUGUUCCAUCUGCCCUCAAGGUGCCAGGACAUUCAUUGGUGGCAUUCAGGCUGCGAGCUUCCUGUCUAAUAAGACACAGGAUUAUCACCAAUGUGCAAAUGCAGUUGUUUUUGUUGAAACAGGUAUUCUCUAGUGAAUUUUCAUUUUCUAAACUAGCAGUAUAAGUUGGCAGUAAAAGGGAACUUCUAAUAUUUAGUAGAAUCGAUCUUUGUUAAUCAGAAAAAAAUCAAAUAUUUUUGACAGAAAUGUGAAAUGAAGUUAUCCAAGGUAGGAAUUUUGUGUUGAAGAUAUUCUCUCACUUUGUGGAUGUGUCCUAUCUCUCAUUUUCAGCUUUAGCUUGCUUGAUGCCUAUCUCUUGCUGAUAAGUGACUUGGGCCACUCGUGUGUGCAGUCAGUGCUGGAGCUUCUUUCCUGCAUCAGAACUCCCAGGCCAGGUCAGUGCUCAGUCUGAUUUGUGUUCUGCUGCACGCAGGUUGCCAGGUUUUACUUGAUGCUACGGGUGCUUUAUUUUGCAGUAGCUUCCUACCUGCGUUUUUUUAAGCAUCUGCCUUUCCCAGCUGUGUGGUUAAUGCAGUACUACACUGGCAGGAAAGUUCUAUGGCAAGGUGUGAAUUUAAUUUUUUUUUAAUUUUUUUUUUUUUUUUUUACAGGUAUGUAAGAGUAUAAACUAGGUUUUCUGGAGUGCCUUCUACUUGAAGAAUUAGUAGCUCAAGUCAGAUGGUUGCAACAUUACGUGCAGCAGUGGUUAUGUUAUUAACAACUGAUUUGGGAAGGCAUAUGAGUAAUGCCUUGACAAGUUUAAGUUCCAUUUUAGAGCAAUUUAAAAGAUCGUCAGUGUAUUUCUUAAAACACUCAAAAAUGCCUUUCAAUUAGGCACGUGAAUAAGGUUAUCAAAGCUGCUACAGUCUGCAGCCAGUCUUUCUCUUUUGUGCAUCCCACUGCUCUUUUUCUUGUGGUUGUUAACAUUUAAAGAGCGUGUUUAUGGCUUUCAGUAGCCUCUGCAAUCAACAGAAAUUAGUCUGAAAUCCUAAUAAAUGAACCAAAGAAAGAUCUUCAGUUCUCUUUCCAUUAUUUAAACUUAAUUUUAAUUAUGAUGUAUUAAUAUCUGAAGUUAUUUGUUACCUGCUAAUAUAAAUACUGAAAAUCUUAAAAUAUGAGGUUUUUUUUUUUCCUGUUUAAUUAGCUUGGCAGAGUUCAUGCAUAACUGUGCAGUUAUAUACAGCUAUUACUGUAUUUCAUGUUUCAGAACAGAGGGACAUUACUGAAUUAAUAUGCAUUUCUUUUGUAACUGUGUUGUUGGGUAAUUGUGCUUUAUAACAUAUUUCAACUUUUUACAUUUAAAUUGUCUCUGUGUUGUUUGUUUUGUUGCUGUUCUUGGUUUGUUUGUUUGGUUUUUUUUACUAGCACUGUUAUGCCAUAUUAAAUUGCAUCUUCUUGCAUGAAAAAAAGGUGUAAAAUGGAAUACAAAUCCAAAAUGGAGAUCCUUAUCAGAGCAAAAAUAGAGGAAUGAAACAAAACCAUGGUACUAAAGCAGAGGUUCCCAAACUUAUUGUACUGGAGUUUGGCCAUCGGUAUGGAUGGGAGGGGGAUUGUUGAUGCCAGUGGUGUUUUCUGUCCUAUGUUCCUCCAUCUGUGACACAUUCCUGAAGGCAGAACUCAACUCUGUGCUUCCUGCCUCACUUACUAGUUUAUCACCCUUGCUUCACUCCAUCCUGUUCUUGUAGACCACCAGCUACUUGUGUAUGGCAAGCCCAGUUCCAAAAUUACUCUCAAAGCAGUAUCUGCUUACAAAAUAUUGACUGUUGAAGUGUGAUGAUGUUCACAGGCCUAGCUGGGAAGUAUUGUGAUACACCAUAGCUAGAAACAAAGUGUGGCAAAUAGCUGGUCUUACAAAUCCUCCUUCAGAUAAGUAAUGCCCUCAAAGGCCAUUGAAUGCAUUUCAUUAAGGAUUACAUGUGAUUAGUGGUCUGUAAGGUCAAGAGUACGACCUGUCAUUAAUGAGUAUUCAUAUAUUAAUGCUGCUUUGGUCAGGAAGUUCAAGUAGAUUGCCUCUGAGGUCAGUUGCAAUGAGAGUGUUAUGAUUAUCACACUUGUAUUGUGCAAAUAGAUAUUUAAUUUAUAAAACAACAAUUAAAUAAGCUAAGCCCUGUCCAGAUGUUGCAAUUAGUUUUACUUAUUCUGUCAUGUUGUAGUAUGGAGAUAAAACUUGGGUCAAAUUUGUAAGAUUUAAAACAGUUUAAAAAAAAAAAAAAAGCCUUUUUGUGUAUUUCAUUGAAUUCCUUGUAUAUAGUUCUAUAUUCUUAGCAUACAGUUGUUUUGGUUGUGGUUCUGGAACUAGUCAAAGUACAGUGCCAGCAAAUGCAGUGCUUUUAUUUACAGCUGAACUGUGUCAAUGGGCUCAAGUUGACUCUGGCUGUUUCAGGUACUUUUGGCACUGAGGCUGUCAUACAUAGCCAUCAGUGCAGGUCAGCAGUCUGAGAAAGAAAGGUUUGAGGCCCCAAAAACUUCCAAAGCAAGGACUCUGCAUGUGAGAAGGAAUUCCUGUAUUCAAAAACUAUCAAAUGUGUGUACAUUCAGAGUAUACAUAGAUGUUGCCACAGGUGGUUGAGUUGAAUGAACGGUAUGUGCUGAAUGAGUUUCAAGAUGGAUGCUUUUUCAUUAUUUAAGAAAUUGUGUUUUGACUGACAGUAGUGUGAUCCUCCCCAUUAAGAUGUAUGGGGAACUCAUACAGAUUUCCUUGCUGCGUUUGGGAGGAACGUGUAUACCUAUGAUACUUCUUUCACUGCUACCAUGUAGUAUUGUGAAUGAAUUAUUUUAAUCAUGGAAUCGAGGUUGGAAAAGAUGACUAAGAUCAUCCAGUCCAGCUGUUGACCCAUCACUGCUGACCAUCCCCACCAAACCUUGUCCCUCAGUGCCACAUCUACCCUUUAUCUGAAAAGUUGGUGAUAAGUGAGGAAGUCUCAAAAUGACUCACUGCAAAAAGCCAAAUCAGUUUCUCAUUCAUGGGACUGGAAAUAUUUUUGUACAAUAUUUGACCCUUCCAAAUAUAUUAAAUAUCGACACAUGAUUGUUAUCCUGUCUUACUGCAGUGUAUUUCAGGGAAGUACUUGGUUGCUUUUAUGUUUUUAUUUAAAAAGGGUCUAAGAUGUCAGUGGUGUAGUAAGGACUAGAUAGAUCUCCUGGUCUUUAGGAACUACAGAAAGCAAUUAAAAGAAAUAAAAAGUGCUAUGAAGGAGCUGAGUGAAUUCUUUACGUUACUCUUUGCCACAGAGCAUGUUGUGAACAUUCUGUUCUUUUCAGACAAUGCAGAUGGGACAUUAUCUGAUUAUUGAAUUAGAGAAUCAAAAAAUUGAAUGCUCAAAUUCUCAAGACCCCUCAGUCACAAGGACUACAUGCAGUUCCUCCUGUGGUUCUAGAGAAUGAAGAGGCUGAGCUGCUGAGAAUGCCUCUGCUUAGGAGGUGAUGCUGUGCCAGAAGACUGAGAGCUGCCAGUUGGUGUAUGUGCUGCACUUCUGAACUGAACUUAUCUGGAAUUUGCAGACCAAGGAUUCAUAUUUUAAUGCCAAGCUAACUGAUGUGAAUACUUGAGUACAGUCAAGCAGUUCUGUGAGCACACAGAUCUAAUAGAGCCUAGUUUCCUACAUAGCUAUGUGCCUUAGAGGUACCAGCUGGUGCUGGGAUGUUUAUAAGCUGUUUCUGUUGUGUCUGUAUUAAUGUUUUCAUAAUGUGGGUACAUGCUGCAGCCUUUAGUCAGUUUGUGCAGUUUGUGGCUCUAUCUUUUCUAUUCACCUGUCCAGUGCUUGGAAUUCUGACAUCUCUGAACACAUACAAAACUGGAAAUGCUUUUUGCUUGCACUUCCACAAAACUGAAAUUGGGUAGUGGACUUAAAAGUUAUGAAGGGUCACGCAGAACCGAGGUAGGCACAUUAAACAGCAUUCAUCUCAUCUAUCUUUACCUGUCUGAACAGAUAAGCAGCAGGAAGGUCCAUCUGUUCGGCACUUCCAACAAAAAUAGGGGUUUGUCAAGUUGUGCCUCAAGAGCCUAUAGUAGAAGUGUUUACUUUUGUCUUUAAAUAAGCAUCCAAAGUAAAAUUCUAUAUACGUUUGGUAAAAUUGGAGAAAGUUGUGAGGAACUGGAGGACAGUCUUCUAAAGACUGGUAGAUGUCAUUCAGUAUUUGCAGUUACAAAAUAACUCUUAGCAGAAGGAAUAACUGAACUACUUAAAGAGAUUUCUAAAUUACAAGUAAAUGUUGCAAAAAUACAUUUAAGCUCCCAGAUGAAAAUAUCCUUAAGAAGUGUCCACUGUGAAAGAAGCAGCUUAAAAACUUAUUUUAGUGAUGCUCCUUAAUAACUUUUAAUGAAAGUUCCUUACUUAGUCAUCUCUGCUGAAAUGAACUGCCCAUCUGGUUUCAUUGCGAAAGCCAUUGAUGCUUACUUUACUGAUCAGUGUGUUUACGUAUCCUCUGGGUGUUUUUAAAUGCUGUUGAUAAAUAACAAGUUCUUGACAGAUAAAGUCUUUGCAGCUUACAUAAUUAAAAUAAUACUUCUGUAUUUCUCGCUUUUGGUUUUAUUUUCUUCGGGUUAUCUCUAAAUGCUCAAUAAUGGCAAUACAUUCAUUCUGCCAUUUGGAGGAGCCUGCGCCACAGAAUAAUGAUCUGAAGAGAGCUAAUGUAUUUGCAAGGAAGAGCCCUCAUUUGUGCAAUAGUGUUGAUGCAGCUAAGAGGUGCCUUGCCAAGUUCAGCACAGCCUGCCAUGCUUGGACGGAGCCGUUUUUUCUUCAAAGAAUAAACAGAAUGCUGCAUCUAAAGAGUAAGAAGAAGGAUGCUUUCAAAGAUAAGGAUUUUGAAAUGAAGAACAAAAAAGGAGAAUGUUUUAUGAAAAAGAGUUUAUAAUGGACCAAAUAAACGUGUAUGUUAUCUUUUAAAAAUAUUUAACUCAAGUGAAGCUCCUGUAUGGCAAGCCUCAAGACCAAGAAGUCUACUGGAAAUUUUUACCCAUAGUUUAAAGAAAUGUUCAGAUGUCCAAAUGCAAGUGAUUUAGAAGUGGUAACUAUUACACUCUUCAAGAUGCUUUAUGUGAUUCUAGUCUUUUAACUCAGUCAGCUGGGAGAUCCAAUCCUUAGAGACCUGAAGAUCAGUGUCUUGUCUUCCUUUUCUGAUGUGCAAAACGCAGCUUGUCCAAUAUGUGUUACCCCAAAAAGAAUUAAGAUAAUUGAAGUCAGAAUAUCUGAACUUGGAUCACUUGCAAAAACCAUCUUGGUAGGCGUAGGUUGCUUGUCUGAAAUCUGUUCUGAAGCUUCAGUGCAAAGCAAACACAGCACUAAUGAUGGAUGUGAAUGGACAUCUUAAGGAUAACUGGAUAUGGCAUCUUCAGAAACAGUGGCAUUUUGGUAUAGUGAAGAAGUGUGGAGAAUACCUGGUAGCUGGAUUCCUGGGAGGUGUGUGGACAGAGAGUUGAUUCUCCAGAAGUCUUACAGAAGUGGGUAGAAGAGAUAAUCCAGCCUGCCAAGUGCUAUGCACUCAUUCCAGUGCCAAAAUACAAAGCACGCACCAACAGCUUUAAUAAGUUUUGUAUUGGAACUCAAGCACCGCUCUGGGGUUUCCUGUCCUACAUCCCUUACACCUCUCUAACCCUGCAUUCUGGUACCUCGAUUGCAAAAUGCAGACAUUGAGAGUAUUAAAUAAAACCUGUACUUUUUUGUUGUUUGUUUGUUUUGAAUCUUUAGGUGCUGCUGGUAGUGAUGGUGUGCUGUUUUGUGUGUGUGUGUGUGUGUUGGUUGUUGUUUCUCCAGGUGUUAAACAGCAGUGUUAACUAAAAGCUGCCAUUGUUUGUGUACUGAAAAUACAUACAGAGCUUCAUGUUUGUUCUCUGGGUGGCAGAGCUAUGGAUUUGAUAAUACUGAGACAGAUUAUAGUAUAAAUACAUUGUGAGUGAGAUACCUUUAAUUUAUUGGUCCUAUUCAACUAGGCUUGCUAUGUGCCAAAGCAAACAAACAUGUCUAUAUUAAGGAAUUGUCUUGCCAUAAGAUUUUCCCUUUAUGCUUCUCACAGCUGUACACCAUAUCAGCUUUUCUGCAGAUGUCCAUAUUUGUUGUCAGGAAGAGAUGUCUGUGCUUACCUAACUGAUUCUGCUGACACAGAUCUGAUCUCCAUGCCUCUUCUGGUUUGUGGUGUGCAAGGCUGCAAUAUGUUAAUGAGAACUACACACAGCUAUCAACAAAAGCUGCCACAACUUCCAUGGAAUAUACUGGAAGACAAUGAAAGCAGCAAUGUCAAUCCCAUUUCAAAUUCCAGCACCCCAGGCCAAGUCGUUCUGGGUCGCUUAAGGAUGUCUCACUAGGAGAGUAUAGGAGGGAUAAAGCUGCACCAGAACUCUGCUGUUUGACCUUCCAGUAGCAUUGAAGCAUAGGCAGGGGAGUGAGUAUCAAAAUGAAAAUACAUCAGAAAUUGCCACUUGGGCAGUUCAGGAGAAGACAGUGUUGCUGCCACCGUAUCAGGCCCCAUUCACCUUUCAAUGAACAUAAGUAGCAGCAGGAUGCCAGAAAUGGGGAUGUGUUGUGUUCCAUCCACAUCUGUAAGUAUGAACACAGGCUGCUCUGCCCGUGGUACUCUCAGUUUGUGGAUCUCUAGUUUGUUGAGAUCCUUCCUCCUUUACCAGCAGAGGUCCUGGAGCCUUGCUGCAGCCCGGGGCCUUUUAGCCUUUCCACCUGUUUCAGGGUUGUUUUUUCAUCCUGUACUGCCUGCUGAAGAUGCAGAGCUCUCUAAUUAUGUUGAGGGGCUGUGAUGUGAGACUGUCUGUGUGGGCUAUGAAGAAGUGCAGGCAGGUUCAUGUCAGGUGCUGAAUGUUCUGACCUUCUUUCUGUGCUGAACCAUUAAGCCCUUUUAUUCCAGGCAGCUCUUCCACCCAAGGCUGUACGCUGCGCUGCCAUUCACCCAGCAUACAAAGGCAUGUUCAGGUGACCUCAGGUUCCUCUCGCUUGCAUCAGUACCAGAGGCAAUAUUGAUUUGGGCCAGCCAGCAGUGCCAUCAACAGAACAGCACCACAGUGCUGAGGGGUAGAGGAAAUGAGCACGUAGCCUGUUCCAGCUAUCAACCUGUGUGACCAAGAGCUGCCUGUGGGUUUGAGCUGUGCUUGUGCAUAGGAUGCCCUCGUGUUACUGCAGCAGGGUAGAUCUUCCCUUGAAGUGUAUGGUGCCAGAUGUUCUUGUUUAAGAAUGUGCUUUGGCUGGUGGUAAAAUAACUCCUGCUUGAUGCCUUCAUGCUACAUGCACUGCAAGGUGGGUGCUCUCUGCAGUGUAUCCUGAUGGAAUCCUCUUAGUUCAAUAUUUAAAACAAGAUGUUAAGAAUAAAAAAGAGUUCUGGUCAUUAAACUGGAAUUAAUGUGAAGCAGGAGCUGAUUGAUAACCUGACACUUGGCUUCUGUAGCACCUGUCUCAAAGCAAUGGCUCCUUACACUGUACAUUAAUCAUGAAGGAGAAGUUCAGAAAUGCCUCAUUCCAUCCAAAAGCUUUUAUUAUGAAGUAAAUAGCUUUCAUAAUAUUGGAAUGAGCAAAUAUAUAUGUUUAACAAAAAUGCCUUGGUAUCCAAGUGAGGGUUAGUUUAUGCCUCUUUUCCAGUAAGUUCAUUUUGUUGUAAUUGUCUUCCUUCCCUUUAAAGGGGAGAAUGGACACGGAACAGCUUUGCAGGUAAAUGUUCAUGGAGUAUAUUUUGAAAUAUUCAGUACAUAUUUCUAAGCUUCAUCUAGAAAAGUAGAAUAUCCCAUUUAUUUUAAAAAGAGGCUGCGAGUUGCCAAUGAGGUGUAUCAUUGAAAUGAUCACAGGCAAAAGCUGUUAAUCUGGCAACCGUUGGUUUCCAAACAGAGCAAAUUAAGGGGGUUAAGUGUUAUGUUCUGGUUUCCUGCUGUUCAAUGGUCUGCUUACGGAACACAGAUGAAAUGUAUGUUGCCUUUUGGAUUCACAAAUUGUAUACUGUUUUUCUGCAACCUUUUGCUAUUUCUUUUAUGCCCGGCUGCUUACCUGUCAGUGUGGACAGUAAGGUCACCUCAAACCCACAGCUUCACUACACAAAGUCUGUUUAGCUAUUCAGUUUCUGUCAUCAACGUACCGACUUCAUUUUCUCUCCAAAAAAGAGUUCCCAGGCUGUGUUUCUGGUUCUCUUUUCUAUGUUAUUGUCUUGUAAAGUCUUCAUUUGUUCUCUUUAUUGCACCGUGGAUUGCUUCAGCCAUUUAUUAUUGCCCUAUUUACCUGACCCAGCCGCCUAUUAAACCAUGAAGUCUUAUCCCUGCUUUGGCAUUGCUGGAAGUCUCUUCUUUGUGUUCCCCUGCUUAUUCUACCCCUGGCCACUUUUUUAACGUUUCUUCCCUUUACCUUCCCAGGUGAUGUGGAAGAAGUCUCACAGAACUACUAAUAACAUUUAGUGCAAACUAUAGGAAAGCUUUGAUGUUGUGAAUAAGAAGUUAAUAAUGGAAUAAACUUGCUAUUCUUUUUUAAUUGUUUUUUUUUUUUAAACACAGGAAUUGUCACAUUGCUGCAAGCCAUAGGACAGUUCCCCAUUUCUCAGUAACUGUAUCCCAUUUCAUCACUUGAUGUUAAUUCCAAAUAUGUUUUGUCCAGAUUUCUUUAUGUAGUAACUUGUUUAGCGUGACUGUUGUUGAUAGGGACAUUUAAUUUGUAUUAAUAACUUUCAAUCUCCUUGAUAAUUAACAUGGAUGAAUUACAGAUGUGAUUCUGGCCAGCUUUGAAUUUUCCAUACCUCAAAAACUUCUUGGUAUUUUUCUUGUAUUGUAAGAUAGCAAGCAUAGCAGCAUCUGAUAGGACCUCUCUGGAGGUUUUGUUACCUGAUGAUGUCUGUUCAUAACACUCUUCAGUUUAAACUUCACAGUUUGUCUUCAGGUGUUCCCAGUCCUUAUCAGUGUUCAUCUUUGAACUCAUUCCACUUCUCACACAUCCUUUUGGAGAGGGGAGACAUGUACUGCAUAUGUUUUAUUUUUUCUAGUAAGGUCACAAGAUUGAUUACUAUAAUUCCAUUACACCUUUUCUACUCAUUCUUUUCCACUGUUUAAGCAGCCUCUUUUCUUAUUUUUAUUUUGAUUGAGCAGAAAUUUUCACUGACGUGCUGAAGUGGUGCCCUGGUUCCUUCCUGAGGUCAAGGAAUCUGGUGUUCUUUCACACUGCAGCUUAGUGAUCUAAUGAACAACAUCCACUAAAAAGCAGCAGUCUUAGUUCCUCCCUUGCACCUGGUGCUGACUACUAUCCCAGUGAUCCAGUUCAUGGAUCUAUGCUGUUAAAAAAAAAUCUCACCAAAAAAAGGGUUGAUUUUUCUACUGGUUUUGCUUCCUGGACAGGCUUACCAGCAAUGGCUACUGCUGUUGUUGCAGGGAAAACAGAGGAGCACAUAGCAAAGGAAGGAGGAGGUAGAAGUAUGGGAUGUGCCCUUUGCGCAGUGUUCUGCAUCAGAUCGAUUUAACAAGAAGAAAAUUAUGCAGAGAUUUGUAACAGAAGUGUUAAGUUUGAUGUGAAUGCAGUGUGGAUGGAAAUGUGUGUAAGUGUAUAGAAAAACCAAAAUAAAGGGUUAAUCAAAUGGCGUAGACUGAUAAUGGAGGGCAUGGUUUCCAGGACACCAUUCUCAGCAGCAUCUGUGUGCCACAGCACAGAUCAUUUGCCAGCAGAAGACUUUGUGUCCCUAACAUCAGGAGGAUGGCAGCAAGGCUGUAGUGUAACUCGUGUGCUGUUCUUUUUC